rnacentral:rRNA from 1 species
AGUGAACGCUGGCGGUAGGCCUAACACAUGCAAGUCGAACGGCAGCACAGUAAGAGCUUGCUCUUACGGGUGGCGAGUGGCGGACGGGUGAGGAAUACAUCGGAAUCUACUUUUUCGUGGGGGAUAACGUAGGGAAACUUCCGCUAAUACCGCAUACGACCUACGGGUGAAAGCAGGGGAUCUUCGGGCCUUGCGCGAUUGAAUGAGCCGAUGUCGGAUUAGCUAGUUGGCGGGGUAAAGGCCCACCAAGGCGACGAUCCGUAGCUGGUCUGAGAGGAUGAUCAGCCACACUGGAACUGAGACACGGUCCAGACUCCUACGGGAGGCAGCAGUGGGGAAUAUUGGACAAUGGGCGCAAGCCUGAUCCAGCCAUACCGCGUGGGUGAAGAAGGCCUUCGGGUUGUAAAGCCCUUUUGUUGGGAAAGAAAAGCAGCAGGUUAAUACCCCGCUGUUCUGACGGUACCCAAAGAAUAAGCACCGGCUAACUUCGUG